GAUGAACGCUAGCUACAGGCUUAACACAUGCAAGUCGAGGGGUAACGAGAGGAAAGCUUGCUUUCCUUGUCGACGACCGGCGCACGGGUGAGUAACGCGUAUCCAACCUGCCCCCAACUAGGGAAUAACCUUGCGAAAGUAAGACUAAUACCCUAUAAUUUCCUCAGAUGUCAUCUGACGAGGAAUAAAGAUUUAUCGGUUGUGGAUGGGGAUGCGCCUGAUUAGCUUGUUGGCGGGGUAACGGCCCACCAAGGCAACGAUCAGUAGGGGUUCUGAGAGGAAGGUCCCCCACAUUGGAACUGAGAAACGGUCCAAACUCCUACGGGAGGCAGCAGUGAGGAAUAUUGGUCAAUGGGCGGAAGCCUGAACCAGCCAAGUAGCGUGCAGGAUGACGGCCCUAUGGGUUGUAAACUGCUUUUAUACAGGAAUAAAGCUAGCCACGUGUGGUUAUUUGUAGGUACUGUAUGAAUAAGGACCGGCUAAUUCCGUGCCAGCAGCCGCGGUAA
rnacentral:rRNA from 1 species